rnacentral:lncRNA from 1 species
GUGAGCCCGGCUGCUCACGUCAGAUGCCUGUUCGGUAGUGGACUCUGCCUCUGUGGCCUCCUUGCUGUGGUGGGCAGAAGGGGCAGCAGUGGAGUCUAUGUGCCUCUAUUCUGAAGCGAUUCGAAGACAUGGAAGACAGAGAUUCAGUGUUGUGAGAGGAGAAAGAGAGUGUGCUGUAGCGCAGGGUCCAGCCUCCCCCUUCACUGGAUAACCAUUCACUAAAGGCCUGCUGGGACUGAGUCUGGAGCUGCAGGAGCAAAGUGCCAUGAACGGGGGCGCUGAGGGUGACAGGACGGGGCAAGUUCUCCUCUCUCCAGCCCUUGGCCUUCCGGGCCCGCAGGGUCCUCGUACCGCAUAAAGGCACGAUGACAAGUUCUGAGGACGAAACCUCAGCACACCUCCAUGGGAUCACUCCACGCGCAGGCCCUGUGGGGUAAAUACAAGGCUACUGGCCCCUGUUCCUUGAACGGAGGCACGAGGUGCAUGAACCCAGUCAUCAGCCAGUUCUUCCCAACCCUCCUCCUCUGGUCCUUCUCAGCCCUGCUCCCCACCAUAGUCUACUACUCGACGCUGCUGGAGUCGCACUGGACCAAGUGAG